AGUCGAGCGGAGCGAGGGUGCUUGCACCUUAGCUUAGCGGCGGACGGGUGAGUAAUGCUUAGGAAUCUGCCUAUUAGUGGGGGACAACAUUCCGAAAGGGAUGCUAAUACCGCAUACGCCCUACGGGGGAAAGCAGGGGAUCUUCGGACCUUGCGCUAAUAGAUGAGCCUAAGUCGGAUUAGCUAGUUGGUGGGGUAAAGGCCUACCAAGGCGACGAUCUGUAGCGGGUCUGAGAGGAUGAUCCGCCACACUGGGACUGAGACACGGCCCAGACUCCUACGGGAGGCAGCAGUGGGGAAUAUUGGACAAUGGGGGGAACCCUGAUCCAGCCAUGCCGCGUGUGUGAAGAAGGCCUUUUGGUUGUAAAGCACUUUAAGCGAGGAGGAGGCGCUCUAGGAUAAUACCCUAGAUGCGUGGACGUUACUCGCAGAAUAAGCACCGGCUAACUCUGUGCCAGCAGCCGCGGUAAUACAGAGGGUGCGAGCGUUAAUCGGAUUUACUGGGCGUAAAGCGCGCGUAGGUGGCUAAUUAAGUCAAAUGUGAAAUCCCCGAGCUUAACUUGGGAAUUGCAUUCGAUACUGGUUAGCUAGAGUAUGGGAGAGGAUGGUAGAAUUCCAGGUGUAGCGGUGAAAUGCGUAGAGAUCUGGAGGAAUACCGAUGGCGAAGGCAGCCAUCUGGCCUAAUACUGACACUGAGGUGCGAAAGCAUGGGGAGCAAACAGGAUUAGAUACCCUGGUAGUCCAUGCCGUAAACGAUGUCUACUAGCCGUUGGGGCCUUUGAGGCUUUAGUGGCGCAGCUAACGCGAUAAGUAGACCGCCUGGGGAGUACGGUCGCAAGACUAAAACUCAAAUGAAUUGACGGGGGCCCGCACA
rnacentral:rRNA from 1 species